CAUUUAUAAGAAUUUUCAGUUAAGUCACCUGAAAAUCUGCUCUUUCCAGUGAAAGUGAGCCACAUUCAAUCUUGUGCUUCAAGCCAUAAACUAAUCAUUGAUGAGAGUUGGAAUGGAAUAUUAUUUUUACUUCCACAGGGUUACAUAACUGUCUCUAAGCAUUAUGUGUCUGGGGAAAGUGGAAGGUGGAGAUGUCUUCCUCUGAAGCAUUGUGUACUGGAUACUGCUGGAGCAGAAAGCUGCAUUCUGUUCAGGGCAUCUCAUGUUGGUUCUGCACAAGAAGGCUUCAUUUUCUCCCGCAGAUGAGCUGAAGAAAGAUUUCUCACUAUGUGCACUGGCAGAGAUACACAUCACCCCAAGGCCGCAGAAAGGAGGCAAGCUUCUGUUUUCUUUGUGUGGCAACACAAUGCAGAGCCCAGGACUCGGAGCUCAAGAUACAAAAGUUCUAUUCCCAGUUCUGCCACUGACCUGCUGUGUGAACCUUGGGCAAGUAUGUUCAUUUUUCUGUGCCUCUGUUUCCCCUCCCAUCCUUUGUUUGGUCUAUUUUGAUUGCAAGCUUCCGGGGGCAGGGACUGUCUCUUAUUGUGUGUACAUACAAUAUCUGUUGUUAUUAUUUAUUAUUAUUAUUUAUUUGUAUAAUCACAGUACGUAGCGGCCCCGGUCAUUGAUCAGCACCUCAUUGUGCUAGGUGCUGUACAAACACACAGCAAAAAGACUGUUCCUGCCCCAAAGAGUUUGCAUUGUGGUACAAAGGGGCCUCAAGCUCACUUGGAGCCUCCAGGAUCUACUAAUAAUGUUACUAUAAGGACUCUGUUACAAAUGCAUUAUAUCACACAUAUUCAUAGAAAUUAGAGAUGCGACAAUUUAUUAGGUCAUGUAGUUCAUCUCCUGGUUAAUGCACGAUUGUUCUUCAUUUUCUAGUGUUUUGACCAGUCUGGGUUUAAAUAAUUCAAAUAAAGGAGUUUCUAUCAUUCCCA
rnacentral:lncRNA from 1 species